rnacentral:lncRNA from 10 species
GUCUAGGCAUGCUGUCAUCUGAAGUAACUCAUUGAGGCAGAAAGAUAUGCUGAAGGCACUCAUUUUCCUGUUUCACAGAGGUCCCCAGAGCUCAGGGCCUUGCCGCGCACAGAGAGUGGCAGAGCUAAGGCUCAAACCCAGGCAGCCAUUCCCAAGUCCAGCUUCCCGUCUCUGCUCUCCUGUCUGUGCCACUGCAGACCUAAUACUUUUAUUCAUCAAUUCAUUCAUUCAUUCAUUCGAGACAGGGGCCUCUCUCUGUUCAGGCUGGAGAGCAGUGGCAUGAUAAUUGCU